rnacentral:rRNA from 1 species
UUCGGCGAGUGAGUACAGUGGCGCACGGGUGAGUAACACGUGGAUAAUCUGCCCCUCAGACAGGAAUAACCCAUCGAAAGGUGGGCUAAUACCGGAUAAUGCUGAUUGGCUCCGGCCGAUCAGCCAAAGGUGGCCUCUCUAUAGAAGCUAUCGCUGUGGGAUGAGUUCGCGUACCAUUAGCUUGUUGGUGGGGUAAUGGCCUACCAAGGCAACGAUGGUUAGCUGGUCUGAGAGGACGACCAGCCACACUGGAACUGAGAUACGGUCCAGACUCCUACGGGAGGCAGCAGUGAGGAAUCUUGCGCAAUGGGGGAAACCCUGACGCAGCAACGCCGCGUGAGUGAGGAAGGUCUUCGGAUCGUAAAGCUCUGUCAGACGGGAAGAAAUGUAAAAGAGUUAAUACCUCUUUUAUUUGACGGUACCGUCAGAGGAAGCACCGG